AAAUAAAUUCCACGCAUUCGAACGGAUCGGCAAACAAAUCUUUCUGCCGUCCGCGUAACAUAUUUUCCUCGUUUCGCGCUCCACAUUCAACCCUUGGUAACGGGGCUAUCGACGCUCAAUUAAAGAUCACCCCACGCGCUUCGCGCUAGUCGAGGAG